GCCAGCAUGGUGUAGUGGUUUGAGCAUUGGACUAGGACUCUGGAGACCAGGGUUCAAAUCCCAGCUUGGCC